ACUCCUACGGGAGGCAGCAGUAGGGAAUAUUGGUCAAUGGGUGAGAGCCUGAACCAGCCAUGCCGCGUGCAGGAAGACGGCCUUCUGGGUUGUAAACUGCUUUACCAGGGAUGAAAAUGAAUCUUGCGAGAUUAAUUGAAGGUACCUGGAGAAUAAGCACCGGCUAACUACGUGCCAGCAGCCGCGGUAAUACGUAGGGUGCAAGCGUUGUCCGGAUUUAUUGGUUAAGGUGCGUAGGCGGGCUAUUAAGUCAGUGGUGAAAUCCAGCAGCUUAACUGUUGAUGUGCCAUUGAUACUGGUAGUCUUGAGUACAGAUGAGGUAGGCGGAAUUGACAGUGUAGCGGUG
rnacentral:rRNA from 1 species